AUGAAUCUAUUGAAAGAGUUGGGCACCAAUGAUAGUGAGGCUGUUACGCUCUUGGUUGAUAACGUUUCCGAGAUUAAUUUUGCUAAGAACCCAAUUACAUAUGGGAGGAGCAAGCAUAUUGAAAUGAAAUUUCACUACUUGAGGAAACUUGUUAGUGAAGGAAAGUUAAUGUUGGGAUAUUGUAGAAGUGAAGAAUAA